rnacentral:rRNA from 1 species
UACGGGGGGAGCAAGCGUUGUUCGGAUUUACUGGGCGUAAAGGGCUCGUAGGCGGCCAACUAAGUCCGACGUGAAAUCCCCAGGCUUAACCUGGGAACUGCGUCGGAUACUGGAUGGCUUGAAUCCGGGAGAGGGAUGCGGAAUUCCUGGUGUAGCGGUGAAAUGCGCAGAUAUCAGGAGGAACACCGGUGGCGAAGGCGGAUCUCUGGGCCUUACCUGACGCUCAGGUGCGAAAGCUAGGGGAGCGAACAGG